rnacentral:rRNA from 1 species
UACGUAGGCAGCAAGCGUUGUUCGGAAUUACUGGGCGUAAAGCGCCCGUAGGCGGCCUGCCAAGUUGGACGUGAAAGCUCCUGGCUUAACUGGGAGAGGCCGUUCAAAACUGUCAAGCUAGAGUCUGGAAGAGGAGAGCGGAAUUCCCGGUGUAGUGGUGGAAUGCGUAGAGAUCGGGAGGAACACCAGUGGCGAAAGCGGCUCUCUGGUCCAAAACUGACGCUGAGAGGCGAAAGCGUGGGGAGCGAACGGG